rnacentral:rRNA from 1 species
GAUGAACGCUAGCGGCAGGCCUAACACAUGCAAGUCGAGGGGUAACAGGGGAGCUUGCUUCCGCUGACGACCGGCGAAUGGGUGAGUAACGCGUAUGCAACCUGCCUUCUACAGGAGGAUAGCCCGGAGAAAUUCGGAUUAAUACUCCAUAAUAUCGUUUUAACACAAGUUUUAGCGAAGAAAGCUUUUGCGGUAGAAGAUGGGCAUGCGUCCUAUUAGUUAGUUGGUAGGGUAACGGCUUACCAAGACAUCGAUAGGUAGGGGCCUGAGAGGGUGAUCCCCCACACUGGUACUGAGACACGGACCAG